ensembl:lncRNA
GGGAUUCAAGCUUGGGAACUGGAUAAAAACAGUUAUAGAGACGGUGAUGUUUCAGAGUCUAGCAUUUCUGUUACAAAGACUCACAUCUGGUCAUUUCAUACCACAGGGCCUUUCUACUUAUGCUUCUUUACUGUUGUGCUGGACAGCAACGAGGAGCAAAACAUCUUUUGAAAUUCUUCUUGGGAUUGGAUACCUCUAUGGAUAAAAGAGGAAGUCUUUUUGUGUUACUUCUUAUUCAGUGCCAGUGCAGUACUGGAGAAGUAGAAAAGAUCAAGCAGAUUGAAAGCAUUGCUUUAAAUUACAGGUUAGGAGAUGACCUGCUGGAAGGGAGUUGUGCAGAGAAGGACAUGCAUGUCCUGGUGGACAACUGGUUGGCCAUGAGCCAGCAGUUUGCCCUUGCGGCUGAAAAAGCCAAAGGUAUCCUGGGAAGCAUUAGAAAGAGCAUAGCCAGCAGGACAAGGAAGUUUUUAUAUCUAUUUGUUUGCUGUGGGGAAUUGAUUGAAAAGAUUGAGAGCUGAUUUUCUUGAUACAAAACAGGCAUUAAAUACUUCGAACUGCCCAAAGAAGUAUUCCAUAGCAGAUGACAUCAUGCUGAAAAAUAGAACUGGAGGAAGUUUACCAGAGGGGCUGCUGUUGCUCAAGGAC